UUCGAAAAUGUCAUCCAUCGUCGCUUCUCUAUACGAAAACUCCAUCCUUCUUUAUUUAGAGAUUAGAAAUUAAUUCUCAUUCACGUAUGAAGAUAUCUUGAUUUGUGAUUUGAACCUUUUGUAUUUGUAUAGAAGCGACGUAUUGCUCAUGGUGCUUUGGGUUUUUUUGGGUUAGAAAUUUGAACCUCACGCAUGAAGAGGUUAGAAAUUAAUUCCUCUUCCCUCUUCACGUAUAAAGUUGGGGAAAGUCCAUAUAUCACAUGGUGCUUUGGGUUCUCCUUACAAAUCCAAUGGAGUUGAUGAUUGAUAUGAGAAGAUACAGAUUGAUAGAAGGAGAUAUGGCUUAUAAGGGACCGUAUUUUCCCUACUGUCACACAGUAGAUGACCGUGAGGGAUACUCUAAACUCUGCACUUGAUGAAGAAAUGUCUGUUGAUCAAAAAAAAAAAAAAA